GCCGUAGCCUUGGGUCUGAGUCUUCUCCAGACAUGCCCCUCGCGCGACACCUGCCGACCCGAGCCGCAUGGAUUGAAAAUCCUCGUGUCGGUGGUUCGAUUCCGCCCCCGGGCACCA
rnacentral:tRNA from 1 species